rnacentral:rRNA from 1 species
GACGAACGCUGGCGGCGUGCCUAAUACAUGCAAGUCGAACGCUUUUUCUUUCACCGGAGCUUGCUCCAUCGAAAGAAAAAGAGUGGCGAACGGGUGAGUAACACGUGGGUAACCUGCCCAUCAGCAGGGGAUAACACUUGGAAACAGGUGCUAAUACCGUAUAACACUAUUUUCCGCAUGGAAGAAAGUUGAAAGGCGCUUUUGCGUCACUGAUGGAUGGACCCGCGGUGCAUUAGCUAGUUGGUGAGGUAACGGCUCACCAAGGCAACGAUGCAUAGCCGACCUGAGAGGGUGAUCGGCCACACUGGGACUGGGACACGGCCCAGACUCCUACGGGAGGCAGCAGUAGGGAAUCUUCGGCAAUGGACGAAAGUCUGACCGAGCAACGCCGCGUGAGUGAAGAAGGUUUUCGGAUCGUAAAACUCUGUUGUUAGAGAAGAACAAGGAUGAGAGUAAAAUGUUCAUCCCUUGACGGUAUCUAACCAGAAAGCCACGGCUAACUACGUGCCAGCCGCCGCGGUAA